rnacentral:rRNA from 1 species
AUUGAACGCUAGCGGGAUGCUUUACACAUGCAAGUCGAACGAGUGGCGGACGGGUGAGUAAUAUAUCGGAACGUGCCCAGGAGCGGGGGAUAACUACUCGAAAGAGUGGCUACAACCGCAUACUAUUGGCGCGGCCGAUAUCGGAUUAGCUCGGUGGUGGGGUAAAGGGUAACCAAGUCAACGAUCCGUAGCUGGGUUGAGAGGAAGACCAGCCACACUGGGACUGAGACACGGCCCAGACUCCUACGGGAGGCAGCAGUUGGGAAUUUUGGACAAUGGGGGAAACCCUGAUCCAGCCAUCCCGCGUGUGUGAGAAGGCCUUCGGGUUGUAAAGUACUUUUGGCAGGGAAGCGGUAUCUGCAGAAUAAGCACCGGCUAACUACGUGCCAGCAGCCGCGGUAAUUC